AGAUUCAUAAUCCACUUAGGAAAAAGGAGGGGGGAUGCACGGAGUUAGCACAUAUUAAGUGCCUGCUGUAGUCAAGCCCUGUUGGACACCAGGGACAUCUGGACCUUGACAACGGAGCGAAGGGGUGGUCCUGCCUGCACCAGGUUUCAGUGGCUUCUCAGGCUUCUCUGCAGCAUGGGUGUUCCUGCCUUGGCCAGAGCCGAAAUCCCAGAGCAGUGAAAGAGGAGCCAGUGUCAUGGGGCUUCUGGUUUCAGGACACACUGGAAAGGUGAGAAGGAAGCUUGUCUUCCCAUGGAUCUGGGCCAGGCCUGG
rnacentral:lncRNA from 10 species